rnacentral:rRNA from 1 species
ACGUAGGGUGCAAGCGUUGUCCGGAAUUAUUGGGCGUAAAGAGCUCGUAGGCGGUUUGUCACGUCUGCUGUGAAAACUGGAGGCUCAACCUCCAGCUUGCAGUGGGUACGGGCAGACUAGAGUGCGGUAGGGGAGAUUGGAAUUCCUGGUGUAGCGGUGGAAUGCGCAGAUAUCAGGAGGAACACCGAUGGCGAAGGCAGAUCUCUGGGCCGUAACUGACGCUGAGGAGCGAAAGCGUGGGGAGCGAACAGGAUUAGAUACCCUGGUAGUCCACGCCGUAAACGUUGGGAACUAGAUGUGGGGUCCAUUCCACGGAUUCCGUGUCGCAGCUAACGCAUUAAGUUCCCCGCCUGGGGAGUACGGCCGCAAGGCUA